rnacentral:tRNA from 1 species
GGAUUGUGGCUCAGCGGUAGAGCACUCACCUAGCAUGAGCAGGACCCGUGUUCGAUUCUCAGCACCA